GGGCUCAUACGCACUAUGCGGGUAGCCGCAUUGCGGCUAGCCGUCCGGCUGACCGCAAGCACAAUUAUGUACGUAAUAUUCAUUUCUAUGCGCACUGCGAUGCGGCUACCCGCAGACCGCUCCGGUCGCUCGGAGGGCUGCGGCCCGAGUGACGGCCAGCCGGACGGUUGCUAUACGCACUGUGCGGUUCAGUCUGCGGCUGCCCGCCAUUGAGUGAGUACGUGGUACGCACGUGGUACGUCUGGUAAAAUGGAAUUCGAUACCGAAAAAUUUAUCAUCGAAAUCCAGAGUCGGCCAGCAAUUUGGAACACCAAAUAACCAGAGUAUUCUGAUAGAAUAUUAAAACAAAGAGCAUGGGAAGAGUUAGUGCAUAUUUAUCACGGUACGGAAUUGACAAAGGAGGAAAAACAAAAACUAGGUUUGAGUAUUCAAAAAAAAUGGAGAAAUAUUCGCGACUGUUUUGUGAAGGCCCAUAAAGCGAAAGAGACUAAGAGCGGAUCAGCGGCAAAAAAAAAAGACUUCAUAUGUUUUCUACGAUAGUUUGUUAUUUUUAAAAGAUACUGUAACUGUCAAUAGCACAACGGGGAAUGUAACUACAGAAAAUGAAGAUGGUAACACAGCUAUGCAAAAUGAAGAAACACUUCCAUCAAAUACUUCAUGGGCACCAAAGAGAAACAAGAAAAAUAAUAGUGAUGAUCUUAUCGGUAGAGAGUUAGUCGGGGCCUUAAAUAGAAAUUUAGAAAGAAAGAGUGUUGAAGAUGACGCGGAUCGCCUCUUUUUCUUGUCUCUAGUAAAGGAAUUUAAAAAAAUUCCAGAACAUAUGCAAUUGCAAAGUAAAUUAGAUAUUUUAAAGGUAAUUAAAGAUGCGCAGAUUUUCAAUUAUUCGAACAUUGAUUAUCCAAGGCCUAAUUCUUACCGGGGUUAUCAAAUGUCACAUUAUUCUGGUAAUAGUCCCUAUUCUCACCGUACAAACUUCUCGGAGGUUGGACGAGGUAAUACCCAUCAUGGAUAUCAAACGGCACAGUUUUCAGGAAGUAAUGUUUACACGCAGCCUGUGCAGUCUUCGGAGUUUGGACGAGACACGUCUCAAGAAAUUGUGAGGAAUCCGACGAAUGCACAAUCGCCAAUUUCCGAAAAAUCUCAGGAGAGUGAUUAUAGGAAUCCGACGAAUGCUCAAUCGCCAAUUUCCGAAAAUUCUCAGGAGAGUGAUUAUCUGGAACUUUUUAAUUCCAUCACUGACGAUGAUGCUUGAAAUGUGUACCUACAUUAUUUUAAUAAAAAUUGAAUUAUAAA
rnacentral:lncRNA from 1 species